CUACGGGGGGCUGCAGUGGGGAAUAUUGCACAAUGGGCGCAAGCCUGAUGCAGCCAUGCCGCGUGUAUGAAGAAGGCCUUCGGGUUGUAAAGUACUUUCAGCGGGGAGGAAGGGAGUAAAGUUAAUACCUUUGCUCAUUGACGUUACCCGCAGAAGAAGCACCGGCUAACUCCGUGCCAGCAGCCGCGGUAAUACGGAGGGUGCAAGCGUUAAUCGGAAUUACUGGGCGUAAAGCGCACGCAGGCGGUUUGUUAAGUCAGUGUGAAAUCCCCGGGCUCAACCUGGGAACUGCAUCUGAUACUGGCAAGCUUGAGUCUCGUAGAGGGGGUAGAAUUCCAGGUGUAGCGGUGAAAUGCGUAGAGAUCUGGAGGAAUACCGGUGGCGAAGGCGGCCCCCUGGACGAAGACUGACGCUCAGGUGCGAAAGCGUGGGGAGCAAACAGGAUUAGAUACCCCGGUAGUC
rnacentral:rRNA from 1 species